UGUUCGGAAUGCGGCGACGUGGGCGGUUCGCUGCCCGCGACGUUGUGAGAAGUCCACUGAACCUUAUCAUUUAGAGGAAGGAGAAGUCGUAACAAGGUUUCCGUAGGUGAACCUGCGGAAGGAUCAUUG
rnacentral:rRNA from 1 species